rnacentral:rRNA from 1 species
GACGAACGCUGGCGGCGUGCCUAAUACAUGCAAGUAGAACGCUGAAGAGAGGAGCUUGCUCUUCUUGGAUGAGUUGCGAACGGGUGAGUAACGCGUAGGUAACCUGCCUUGUGGCGGGGGAUAACUAUUGGAAACGAUAGCUAAUACCGCAUAACAAUGGAUGACACAUGUCAUUUAUUUGAAAGGGGCAAUUGCUCCACUACAAGAUGGACCUGCGUUGUAUUAGCUAGUAGGUGAGGUAAUGGCUCACCUAGGCGACGAUACAUAGCCGACCUGAGAGGGUGAUCGGCCACACUGGGACUGAGACACGGCCCAGACUCCUACGGGAGGCAGCAGUAGGGAAUCUUCGGCAAUGGGGGCAACCCUGACCGAGCAACGCCGCGUGAGUGAAGAAGGGUUUCGGAUCGUAAAGCUCUGUUGUAAGUCAAGAACGGGUGUGAGAGUGGAAAGUUCACACUGUGACGGUAGCUUACCAGAAAGGGACGGCUAACUACGUG